UGGCGAACGGGUGAGUAACGCGUGAGGAACCUGCCUCAAAGAGGGGGACAACAGUUGGAAACGACUGCUAAUACCGCAUAAGCCCACGGUGCCGCAUGGCACAGAGGGAAAAGGAGCAAUCCGCUUUGAGAUGGCCUCGCGUCCGAUUAGCUAGUUGGUGAGGUAACGGCCCACCAAGGCAACGAUCGGUAGCCGGACUGAGAGGUUGAACGGCCACAUUGGGACUGAGACACGGCCCAAACUCCUACGGGAGGCAGCAUG
rnacentral:rRNA from 1 species